CGAUAGGAGAUAUCUUUGCCAAUCAUAAAUCACUCUCAACCUUGGACCUUUCUCACAACAACUUCAGUGGCGAUCUUCCGAGUUCUUUAAGUACAGUGUCCAAACUUUCCGCUCUUUAUGUUCAGAACAAUCAGUUUACAGGUUCCAUCGUUGUUCUCUCGGGUUUACCUUUGAAAACUCUAAAUGUUGCAAACAAUCAUUUCAAUGGAUCCAUACCUAAGGAGCUUAGCUCUAUUCAGACCAUAAUAUAUGAUGGUAACUCC